rnacentral:rRNA from 1 species
GAUUCCCUUAGUAGGGGCGACCGAAGCGGGAAAAGCCCAAACUGUAAAUCUCGGGCCCUCGGUCCGCGAAUUGUAAUCUGGAGAUGUUCAGGCUAACGGGAGAAGACGUAUAAGUGUGCGCGAGAGCACCGCCAGAGAGGGUGAGAGCCCCGUAUGUGACGUCUUUUCUCACCGGCCUGGGUGUCGAAGAGUCGUGUACUCUGAUACGAGUGCACUAAGCGGGAGAUAAACUUCUUCUAAGGCUAAAUAUAUGUAGGAAACCGAUAGCGAACAAGUACUGUGAAGGAAAGAUGAAAAGCACUUUGGAAAGAGAGUUAAAAGACUUGAAAUCGUUGAGGCGGAAGCGGUAGAAAUGAAUUCUACUGCAGUCGCUAGAGGGCCUGCGAAAACAUAAGCGGGUCUGUAUGGGGCUGCUGUGAGGCAAGAUGGGGUCGUGCGACGCGAGAAACGUGCCAGGUUCUCCUGGUGCAUAUGCGCGACGCGCGGCCUGAGGGGCUUCGAGCGAUCUUGCCAAAAUGGUUUUUACCGACCCGUCUUGAAACACGGACCAAGGAGUCUAAGACCAACGCGAGUAUGGUGGUGGAAAAACCAACAUGCGCAAUGAAAGUGACUGAUGCCAACUUAGCAGCAUCGACCGACCAUGAUCCUCUGGAGAAAGGUUUGAGUAUGAGCGUUGUUCUUAGGACCCGAAAGAUGGUGAACUAUGCCUGAGUAGGGCGAAGUCAGGGGAAACUCUGAUGGAGGCUCGUAGCGAUACUAACGUGCAAAUUGUUCGUAGAACUUUGGUAUAGGGGCGAAAGACUAAUCGAACCAUCUAGUAGCUGGUUCCCUCCGAAGUUUCCCUCAGGAUAGCUGGGACAAGUACGCAGUUUUAUUAGGUAAAGCGAAUGAUUAGAGGUAUGGGGGGUAUUAUGCCCUUCACCUAUUCUCAAACUUUAAAUUGGUAAGAGCUCUGGCCUUUCUUAAUUGAGGCACAGAGAUUCAAUGCGUGUCCUUAGUGGGCCAUUUUUGGUAAGCAGAACUGGCGAUGAGGGAUGCUCCUAACGUUAGGUUAAGGUGCCAAACUACACGCUCAUCAGAUACCACAAAGGUUGUUAGUUCAUCCAGACAGCAGGACGGUGGCCAUGGAAGUCGGAAUCCGCUAAGGAGUGUGUUACAACUCACCUGCCGAAUGAACUAGUGCCGAAAAUGGAUGGCGCUAAAGCGUGUGACCGAUACCUAACCAUUGGCGCGAGAGUGAGGUGCCAAUGAGUAGGAGGGCGUGAGCGUCGUGGUGAAGCCUCUGGCGUGAGCCUGGGUGAAACGGCGUUUAGUGCAGAUCUUGGUGGUAGUAGCAAUUAUUCAAAUGAGAACUUUGAAGGCCGACGUGGAGAAGGUUUCCGUGAGAACAGCAAUUGGUCACGGGUGACUCGAUCCUAAGACAUGGGGGAACUCCCUGUUAAAUGUGCGCUUGCACUCAGUCGAAAGGGAAUGAGGUUAAUAUUCCUCAAGCUGGAUAUGGGCGUUAAAUGGCAACAUUUUAACGAACUUCAAGACAUCAGCACGAGCCUCUGGAAGAGUUAUCUUUUCUUUUUAACAAGCUAGCGUCCCUGAAAUUGGUUUACCCAGAGAUAGGGAGGUAUGCUUGGAAGAGCACUUCGCUUUUUGGAGUGUCAGGUGCGCUCGUGAUGGUCCAUGAAAAUGAAGUGAGAUA